GAUAACAAAGAUCUGUCAAUAUUUCUUUUUGCCUGCAGUAUGCAGUUAUUGACGGGAAACCACCAGACCAGACGUAUGUGGACAGAGUAAACGGUGGACUAGAGACUUGGAACAGAAUGCUAGAAGGAAAGCAAUGGCUCGCAGGGGAUAACAUCACACUGGCUGAUUACUCUGCUGCUCUAAUUGUGUCAACAACUCAGAUUAUUCCAAAAACGGAAUUUAAUCCAUACAAGUACAAAAAUAUUGCUGAGUGGCUCUCUAGAGUUGAGAGUUCUAGCCAAAAGUACGCAGACGAGAUGAAAGUAUUCCGGGACGCCGUGAAACCUCAUCUAGAAAAGAUACAAAAAAAAUCAAAGUGAUAAUUUGUUUAGUACCUGCUGUUUUGCAUAUAUUUCUCAAAUAAAGUUUUAAAUUAAAAAUA